CCUACGGGUGGCAGCAGUGAGGAAUAUUGGUCAAUGGGCGCGAGCCUGAACCAGCCAAGUCGCGUGAAGGAUGACUGCCCUACGGGUUGUAAACUUCUUUUAUAAAGGAAUAAAGUGAGGCACGUGUGCCUUUUUGUAUGUACUUUAUGAAUAAGCAUCGGCUAACUCCGUGCCAGCAGCCGCGGUAAUACGGAGGAUGCGAGCGUUAUCCGGAUUUAUUGGGUUUAAAGGGUGCGCAGGCGGAAGAUCAAGUCAGCGGUAAAAUUGGGGGGCUCAACCUCUGCGAGCCGUUGAAACUGGUUUUCUUGAGUGAGUGAGAAGUAUGCGGAAUGCGUGGUGUAGCGGUGAAAUGCAUAGAUAUCACGCAGAACUCCGAUUGCGAAGGCAGCUUGCUGCAGCGGAACUGACGCUGAUGCUCGAAAGCGCGGGUAUCGAACAGGAUUAGAUACCCGAGUAGUC
rnacentral:rRNA from 1 species